rnacentral:rRNA from 1 species
CAAAUGACUCUCGGCAACGGAUAUCUAGGCUCUUGCAUCGAUGAAGAACGUAGCGAAAUGCGAUACUUGGUGUGAAUUGCAGAAUCCCGUGAACCAUCGAGUCUUUGAACGCAAGUUGCGCCCGAUGCCAUUAGGUUGAGGGCACGUCUGCCUGGGUGUCACAU